rnacentral:lncRNA from 1 species
CUACGCAUACUUUAGAUUAGAUCUAAACACCUACUAAAGGUCUAUAAUAUGAAAUUUUCAUACAAAAAUUAUUGAUACAAAGAAAAAAACUGCAUCAAUCACAUCGAUGCCCUAGAUCAGAUCUAACCAUUAGAUCUAAUUAGACGAGUUCAGAACUCAUUACCUUUGCACGGAUCAAUGAUCGCUACUACUGAUAGGCAUGGUAUGAGGUUCUUUCUGAUGCCGAGCAGUUGCAUAGCUCGUCCAGCCUCUACAAGUUGUCCACUCGAAGCCCUGUUUGAAUCAUCAUUCUUAGGAGUGCUAGCUUACAUAGAAAGCACUAGAUGGCUGAAGUAAGCUUUUUUCUUGGGAUCACCCGAACUCUUCCAGAUCAAAGGAUGGAGCUACACGAGGAGGUGGUGGUGUGAGAGAUUGAAACAAGACCCUCUUGUAUUUCUUUUCAUACAAAAAUCUAGAGCCGAAAUCCUAGAACCCACCCUAAACCUCACAUCCAAAGAGGUUGGUCUCUACCUUUAUUUCUUAUGCACAGAAGCCGGCCCCCUCUCUCUUUCACACCUCCUCUCUCUUUCACACCUCCUCUCUCUAAGAAGAGAUUUUUCAUGAUAACAUUCAAUCUUUUUGUCACACAAAAUGAGAGGAGUUUUUAAGGUGGCGUGGAGAGGUGAAGAGAUAAGGAUAAAGUCGCUAGAUAUAGAUCAAAUUCAUACCAAUUUGAAUUCGAAACUCAACUACUUAUCCUUAUCCAAGUGGGGCACCACAAGAGCUGAGACACGAGACAUUUCUCACACC